UGUCUGCCAAAGUCUGCAAAUGCAGGUGUAAAAUCAGGUCCCCUGGAAAUCACCCUGGGAUCCACCACUCGAGAAGGCAGCUUGUUUUGGUUCACCUGUGCGACAUGAGAGAAUACAUCCUUAACAGCAGUGCCACUCAGCUCACAGUCAGAAAAAGGACAAACAUUUGGUAAAUGACAGCUAUGCGAUAUUUCUGGUUGUCUUCCUUGCUUGCUGUCUUUUCACAGUACAGACUGUAUGUUAUGUGAGUCCGGCUCAGCGGGCCGUCCAGCGAAACAAGUCAGAACCACAUGUGGAAGACAAGAAAGGAAUGUGGAGUGCGAUGCGAGCCUCCAGGCGUAGAGAAGGUCAGGUCCUGCUGUUUACAAAUCAAUACGCAUGCUUGGAGAUUUGAGCAGCACUGCUAUCCUGCACUAAAAUGUGGCAACCAAGACAAAACUCAGCACCAUGUCAGGAAGCCAGGCGGGAGCCAGGUCUAGUUGUAGGUCCAGAGUGGCGGUCAGCAACCUGCGGCGCUUUAGCGCCGCCCUAGUGGCUCCCUGGACCUCUUUCAGAGUUGUGUGAAAAUGGAAAAAGAUGAAGAAAAAAAAAAGUGUUUUUGUUUUAUUAUAUUUUCUAUAGAACAAACAUGACACAAACCUUCCUAAUUGUAAGAAAUCCCACUGUUUAUGUUAUACAUGUUUCACUGAUGAGAGGGUUUGGCAAGCACUGUUUUGUCCUACUAAUUUCAGCGAUCCUUGAACUCAUCGUAGUUUGUUUACAUGUACAACUUUUUCCGAUGCUACCACAGAAAGACAAGUUUAAUGCUACUCCAUUGUCUCAUUCUGUCAACCAAAUGUUUUAUGGUGAUCUUUGUUGAUUUCAUUGAUUUGCUGGAGAGCCAAUCAGGCAUAUUUGGUCAAUCCAUGAGGCUUGUUGUAUGUACAUAUUGCAUCAUUAUGCCUGGUUUGUAGCUACAUUUGAGCUCAUUUAAUUUCCUUUACUUAUGUCCUCUGUGUAUUUAACUUAUAUUUGCAUGUCACAUUAUCUGUAUGUAAUAUUAGCUGCAUUUCUGGUAGUUGUUUGUGUGCCAUGUUAUUCCACACCACCGCGAAUGUUAACCAGCUCGCAAAGAUUGUAAUAAAUCCAAUAGAAAAAGACA